rnacentral:rRNA from 1 species
UACAGAGGGGGCAAGCGUUAUUCGGAAUUAUUGGGCGUAAAGGGCGCGUAGGCGGCUUGGCAAGUGGAAGGUGAAAUCCCUCGGCUUAACCGAGGAACUGCCCUCCAAACUGCUUGGCUUGAGACCGGGAGAGGUGAGUGGAAUUCCCAGUGUAGCGGUGAAAUGCGUAGAUAUCUGCAGGAACACCCGUGGCGAAAGCGGCGCGCUGGACCACUACUGACGCUGAGGAACGAAAGCUAGGGGAGCAAACAGG